ACGCUGGCGGCACGCCUAACACAUGCAAGUCGAACGAAGUAGCAAUACUUAGUGGCAGACGGGUGAGUAACAUGUAGGUAUCUGCCCUUUGGCCUGGAAUAACACGAGGAAACUUGUGCUAAUACCGGAUAAGUCUUUACGGAGAAAGCUUUAUGCACCAUUGGAUGAGCCUGCACUUGAUUAGUUUGUUGGUAGGGUAAUGGCCUACCAAGACUUUGAUCAAUAGCUGAUUUGAGAGGAUGAUCAGCCACAUUGGGACUGAGACACGGCCCAAACUCCUACGGGAGGCAGCAGUGGGGAAUCUUGCACAAUGGAGGAAACUCUGAUGCAGCGAUGCCGCGUGAGUGAAGAAGGCCCUUGGGUUGUAAAGCUCUUUCGUCGGGGAAGAAAAUGACUGUACCCGAAUAAGAAGGUCCGGCUAACUUCGUGCCAGCAGCCGCGGUAAUACGAAGGGACCUAGCGUAGUUCGGAAUUACUGGGCUUAAAGAGUUCGUAGGUGGUUGAAAAAGUUGGUGGUGAAAUCCCAGAGCUUAACUCUGGAACUGCCAUCAAAACUUUUCAGCUAGAGUAUGAUAGAGGAAAGCAGAAUUUCUAGUGUAGAGGUGAAAUUCGUAGAUAUUAGAAAGAAUACCAAUUGCGAAGGCAGCUUUCUGGAUCAUUACUGACACUGAGGAACGAAAGCAUGGGUAGCGAAGAGGAUUAGAUACCCUCGUAGUCCAUGCCGUAAACGAUGUGUGUUAGACGUUGGAAAUUUAUUUUCAGUGUCGCAGCGAAAGCGAUAAACACACCGCCUGGGGAGUACGACCGCAAGGUUAAAACUCAAAUGAAUUGACGGGGACCCGCACAAGUAGUGGAGCAUGUGGUUUAAUUCGAAGAUACGCGCAGAACCUUACCAACACUUGACAUGUUCGUCGCGACUCUAAGAGAUUAGAGUUUUCGGUUCGGCCGGACGAAACACAGGUGCUGCAUGGCUGUCGUCAGCUCGUGUCGUGAGAUGUUGGGUUAAGUCCCGCAACGAGCGCAACCCUCACUUUUAGUUGCCAUCAUUAAGUUGGGCACUCUGAAAGAACUGCCAGUGAUAAGCUGGAGGAAGGUGGGGAUGACGUCAAGUCCUCAUGGCCCUUACGUGUUGGGCUACACACGUGCUACAAUGGUAUCUACAACAGGAAGCAAGACUGCGAAGUUAAGCAAAUCCCUAAAAGAUACCUCAGUUCGGAUUGCACUCUGCAACUCGAGUGCAUGAAGCUGGAAUUACUAGUAAUCGUGGAUCAGCGUGCCACGGUGAAUGCGUUCCCGGGUCUUGUACACACCGCCCGUCACACCAUGGGAGUUGGUUCUACCUUAAG
rnacentral:rRNA from 1 species